UUGAACGCUGGCGGCAGGCCUAACACAUGCAAGUCGAGCGGUAGCACAGAGAGCUUGCUCUCGGGUGACGAGCGGCGGACGGGUGAGUAAUGUCUGGGAAACUGCCUGAUGGAGGGGGAUAACUACUGGAAACGGUAGCUAAUACCGCAUAACGUCGCAAGACCAAAGUGGGGGACCUUCGGGCCUCAUGCCAUCAGAUGUGCCCAGAUGGGAUUAGCUAGUAGGUGGGGUAACGGCUCACCUAGGCGACGAUCCCUAGCUGGUCUGAGAGGAUGACCAGCCACACUGGAACUGAGACACGGUCCAGACUCCUACGGGAGGCAGCAGUGGGGAAUAUUGCACAAUGGGCGCAAGCCUGAUGCAGCCAUGCCGCGUGUGUGAAGAAGGCCUUCGGGUUGUAAAGCACUUUCAGCGGGGAGGAAGGCGGUGAGGUUAAUAACCUCAUCGAUUGACGUUACCCGCAGAAGAAGCACCGGCUAACUCCGUGCCAGCAGCCGCGGUAAUACGGAGGGUGCAAGCGUUAAUCGGAAUUACUGGGCGUAAAGCGCACGCAGGCGGUCUGUCAAGUCGGAUGUGAAAUCCCCGGGCUCAACCUGGGAACUGCAUUCGAAACUGGCAGGCUAGAGUCUUGUAGAGGGGGGUAGAAUUCCAGGUGUAGCGGUGAAAUGCGUAGAGAUCUGGAGGAAUACCGGUGGCGAAGGCGGCCCCCUGGACAAAGACUGACGCUCAGGUGCGAAAGCGUGGGGAGCAAACAGGAUUAGAUACCCUGGUAGUCCACGCCGUAAACGAUGUCGAUUUGGAGGUUGUGCCCUUGAGGCGUGGCUUCCGGAGCUAACGCGUUAAAUCGACCGCCUGGGGAGUACGGCCGCAAGGUUAAAACUCAAAUGAAUUGACGGGGGCCCGCACAAGCGGUGGAGCAUGUGGUUUAAUUCGAUGCAACGCGAAGAACCUUACCUGGUCUUGACAUCCACAGAACUUUCCAGAGAUGGAUUGGUGCCUUCGGGAACUGUGAGACAGGUGCUGCAUGGCUGUCGUCAGCUCGUGUUGUGAAAUGUUGGGUUAAGUCCCGCAACGAGCGCAACCCUUAUCCUUUGUUGCCAGCGGUUAGGCCGGGAACUCAAAGGAGACUGCCAGUGAUAAACUGGAGGAAGGUGGGGAUGACGUCAAGUCAUCAUGGCCCUUACGACCAGGGCUACACACGUGCUACAAUGGCAUAUACAAAGAGAAGCGACCUCGCGAGAGCAAGCGGACCUCAUAAAGUAUGUCGUAGUCCGGAUUGGAGUCUGCAACUCGACUCCAUGAAGUCAGAAUCGCUAGUAAUCGUAGAUCAGAAUGCUACGGUGAAUACGUUCCCGGGCCUUGUACACACCGCCCGUCACACCAUGGGAGUGGGUUGCAAAAGAAGUAGGUAGCUUAACCUUCGGGAGGGCGCUUACCACUUUGUGAUUCAUGACUGGGGUG
rnacentral:rRNA from 1 species